AUUCGUUUGAUUUGUGCUAUCGGAUUAUUUGCAGAUGGGUGAGCUGCUUGUUGCUCCGAGGUCUGUUAAUUGCAUGAUGUCUGGUUGCAUGAUCAUUGCUUCAUGCUUUCGGUUUAAGUUUGUUCAUUGGAUAGCAGAGAUGGUUCUGCAUCUUCUUCUGAAUUCUGGUGAAGUGGGGAUAUGAGAUAAUGGGAAAGUAUGGGGGAAAUAAUGUUUGGCUGCCUAGAAACAUUGCGGAGUGGAUGUGGAUAGUUAUCUUUUUGUUUGGAUGAUUUGAUUCUUCAUUUCCUUUAAAGAAAGGUGGCCAUUUGGGUCCUUUCUGGGAGGGCUUUAGUGCAUGGUUUAAUGCCCUUGUGUGUGCCUGUAAAAUGUUGUUGAUGCUGUGUGUGUAAAAGACGAAGCUGCGGGAGGAAGCAGGCUUUCCGAUCAUGUUGUUCACGUUGCAUACGAGAGACGAAGCAGGCGUUGUGGGAGGAAGCAAUUGCGGGAUCUUGUUUGUGCGAAAGACAAAAAUACGAUACGGGAGGGAAAGAGGUUAUGUUGCAGAAUCUUUUGAUGGUCACACAAACAUGCUAGAGAUGAAGUAGACGAUUGCAGAAUCGCCUACUGCGAGACGAAGCAGCUGCAGGAUCACCUUCUGUUGCAGGAGAGAUGUGUGAAUCGGCAUGAUUCAGAUACAUCAGCUAGUAUUUUACUGGCGCAUACCUGUUAGCUCCAUAUUGCUGCUGCGCUGCGCUGAUUCAUUGAACCAACAAAACUAAGGCUACUAGCUUCCAGAUUAAUAGCUAUGGUCUCGCUUGUCCAAUGUCAGCUCUUAAUGUACAACUUUUUGGGCCCACUGAAGAGGUAUUGGGAAGGCCAACUAAUGUCAGGUGGCUGUAUUGGCUAGCCAGCCCCAUCGAUGAGUCCUUUGAUUGAGUUGUUAGCUAUACCACAAACUCAAACUAGGUUUGCUUCUCGUGAGCUGUGUGUAUGCACUCUUAAAUCUUUGCCUUUUAUAAGGGUUCGCUCAUUGUAAUUUCAUGUAUUAAUUAUGCAA